rnacentral:rRNA from 1 species
UGAGGAACAUGACCUUCGGCGGGGGAUAGCCGGCCCAACGGCCGGGUAAUACCGCGUACGACCACAUGGGGACAUCCCUGAGUGGUGAAAGCAGCAAUGCGCCGAUGGAGUGCCUCGCGGCCUAUCAGCUAGUUGGUGAGAUAACGGCUCACCAAGGCGACGACGGGUANCUGGUCUGAGAGGAUGGCCAGCCACAGUUGGGACUGAGACACGGCCCAGAUCCCGUACGGG